rnacentral:rRNA from 1 species
UGUACCUACGGGGCGCAGCAGUGGGGAAUAUUGCACAAUGGGGGAAACCCUGAUGCAGCGAUGCCGCGUGGAGGAAGAAGGUUUUCGGAUUGUAAACUCCUUUUAUCAGGGACGAUAAUGACGGUACCUGAAGAAAAAGCUCCGGCUAACUACGUGCCAGCAGCCGCGGUAAUACGUAGGUGACAAGCGUUGUCCGGAUUUACUGGGUGUAAAGGGCGCGUAGGCGGGAUAGCAAGUCAGUCGUGAAAUGCCGAGGCUUAACCUCGGAGCUGCGAUUGAAACUGUUAUUCUUUAGUAUCGGAGCG